AUGGGGAGGAGGGGGACAGAGUUGAUGAGAGUGAUAAAGUACAAGAUUACAAUGAAAUGAAGAUGUCCUAAGCCAAAUUUGUGAGCCUAUAAGGAGUCGCCAUGUAGAAAAUCCAGCUGGCAUUGUUGUGAGCGCACAAUUGUUUGUUUGGGCAAGAGAAAGAAUGAACCUAGAAUUCCCAAUAAAAAAUGCGUGACAGCAAUAAUAAAGCUGUAGCUGCUGAAAGUUUUCUUUGUGAGGGGUCAGGUCGAGAAAAGCUUCUUGGCCUGAGAGUGGAGACCCCAGUGGUGGAGUAGUGGUAUUCUAAAAGAAAAAGGCAAAACAGGAUCCAGUAGAAAGAUUGAAAUUGAGUAAUUUUGAAAUUUCAGUGUUAAUUGCCCAAGACUGCAGACCAGAGCAA
rnacentral:misc_RNA from 1 species